GUGAUGAGUGGUUUCAUCAAGUUUGUGUUGGUGUAUCCCCAGAAAUGGCUGAAAAUGAAGAUUACAUCUGUAUAAACUGUGCAAAGAAGCAGGGGCCAGAUAGCCCAGGCCACGCACCACCUCCUCCCUUCAUAAUGAGCUACAAACUACCAAUGGAGGAUCUUAAAGAGACCAGUUAGCAGAUGUUUGGUUAGCUUGCAACAUGGGGGGAAGUGGACCACACUGAGACCUUACUCAUCAAGCAGAGUGGUUCUCACCACUCAGAAUGUUGUUUCCACAGAUGAAUGGACUUCAGAAGAAGUCCUCUUAGUGCUGGCUGCCUGUCUGCAUGGACUGUGUGGGCUCCAUUGCCUUAUCUGUGCAGAGGAUGGCUUCCCAGGUGCAGCAGCCAAGUAUCUCAACUCCUGACUCCUUUGGGUGUGGUUUGCUGAGUUAAGGUCAGGUUCUAAUGGAGCUCUCAGGAGGCUGUUCGGCACUAACACAUUGAUGUACUUAGUGGGGCAUAUGAGAAGUGGCUUUCAACCAGCUGGUGUUAGCUGUAGAAGGUUACAACUUAACGGUGGUGCCAUGGGAAGGCCUGAUUAUUUGAAUCUCCUUAGGGUAAUUGGAUAGGAGUCAGAGUACAACUCUGUCCGUAAUUACUGACACACAUGCCCUGCUGAUCCAGUUAGGAGAAGCAGGCCAGAGUUAUCCCUUCUAGAAGUCUUGGGGUGGCAGUGCAGUCUACGGACCUCAGCUGCUUGUGCUUAUUUACCAAUAAGAAAAUUCUCCAGAAGAGCCCCUCACUUUCCUCAGGAAGGUUCAAAAUCUGACUAGACUGGAUUCUGGAAGGAAGGGAGGGGUUUUUUUGUUUUGUUUUAUUUUGUUUGUUUUUUUUCUUACUUCAAGGCAAGUAGCCCAUUGGUUUGAGAAGUCCGUCUGGGUCUGUGUUUUAGCGAAGAAAGGUAGGUGCACGGAUCCAGGUUUCUGGAGGGAGUAGGGAUGACAAGUGAGAACAUUCUACUGAGCCUCAGUGAUGCAUGCUUAUCUGGGAAACCCUCAUUCACAAGUAUUCCAGACUCCACCAUGCUUCACGCAUGGCCAUGAGCAAGACUGGCAAAUAACAGCUUUUGCCUUGCAGCCCUAACCCUAGUGCUUGUAGUUUCCAACAUGGUCCCAGCAGAUGUUGAUGAAUAACACCAUGGCUUCAUCAGAGGAUGUGGGGCUGUAGGUCCUCUGGGUGUGAAGCUGUUCUAGUAAAUCCGUUUUUAAAAAGAAAGACUUGUUUUUACUUUUUUCUAAAUGUCUCUGACUACUGACUGUUCUAUAGAUUAUUUUUCCUUUUUUGAUAUACAUAUAUAAAUAUAGAUAUAUAUAUAUAUAUUUACUGUUACCAGCAGCGUAUGAUAGAGUUUGAGCAUCAAAAAUCCAUUUGGGAACUUGUAUUUUCUUUCGCUUUUUGAUAAAGAAAUCCCAUUCCUUCCUUGUAGUACAAGGAGCUAGCACUUCGUUCUUCAUUCUCGCCUAAGCAUAUCCUCCAUUUUUCUUCUAUUCUAUUCAAGAAGAUAAUAUAUUUCUUCCAUGUUGGGACUUGGUCCCUGUCUGUUGGGCAGCUUGGUCUUAUUCUAGUCAGUGCUGAAUGUUUUGUAUGUUUGAAACUAUGGUGCUGUGCCCCCCUCCCAGCCCACCCCCAUUGGGUUCUGUGUUC
rnacentral:lncRNA from 1 species